rnacentral:rRNA from 1 species
CCUACGGGUGACAGCAGUGGGGAAUAUUGCACAAUGGGGGAAACCCUGAUGCAGCGACGCCGCGUGAGUGAUGACGUCUUUCGGUAUGUAAAGCUCUAUCUGUAGGGAAGUAAAUUACGGUACCUGAUUAAGAUGCCCUGGCUAACUACGUGCCAGCAGCCGCGGUUAUACGUAGGGGGCAAGCGUUAUCCGGAUUUACUGGGCGUAAAGGGAGCGUAGACGGCAGCGCAAGUCAGAAGUGAAAUGCCGGGGCUUAACCCCGGAACUGCAUUGGAAACUGUGCAGCUAGAGUGCAGGAGAGGUAAGUGGAAUUCGUAGUGUAGCGGUGAAAUGCGUAGAUAUUAGGAGGAACACCAGUGGCGAAGGCGGCUUACUGGACUGUAACUGACGUUGAGGCUCGAAAGCGUGGGGAGCAAACAGGAUUAGAUACCCCUGUAGUC